rnacentral:rRNA from 1 species
UACGGGGGAUGCAAGCGUUAUCCGGAAUCAUUGGGCGUAAAGCGCCUGUAGGUUGUUUAAUAAGUCUGUUGUUAAAGACUAGGGCUCAACCCUAGAAAAGCAAUGGAAACUACUAGACUAGAGUAUGGCAGGGGUAGAGGGAAUUUCUAGUGUAGCGGUGAAAUGCGUAGAUAUUAGAAAGAACACCAGCGGCGAAAGCGCUCUACUGGACCAUUACUGACACUCAGAGGCGAAAGCUAGGGUAGCAAAAGGGAUUAGAUACCCCUGUAGUCCUAGCCGUAAACGAUGGAUACUACAUGUUGUGUUUAUAUACAGUAUGGUAGCUAACGCGUUAAGUAUCCCGCCUGGGGAGUACGCUCGCAAGGGUG